rnacentral:rRNA from 1 species
GUAGGUGGCAAGCGUUGUCCGGAAUUAUUGGGCGUAAAGCGCGCGCAGGCGGUUCUUUAAGUCUGAUGUGAAAGCCCACGGCUCAACCGUGGAGGGUCAUUGGAAACUGGAGAACUUGAGUACAGAAGAGGAAAGCGGAAUUCCACGUGUAGCGGUGAAAUGCGUAGAGAUGUGGAGGAACACCAGUGGCGAAGGCGGCUUUCUGGUCUGUAACUGACGCUGAGGCGCGAAAGCGUGGGGAGCAAACAGGGAUUAGGUACCCUGGUAGUCCACGCCGUAAACGAUGAGUGCUAAGUGUUAGGGGGUUUCCCGCCCCUUAGUGCUGCAGCUAACGCAUUAAGCACUCCGCCUGGGGAUACGGCCGCAAGGCUG